rnacentral:rRNA from 1 species
GUGGGGAAUUUUGGACAAUGGGCGAAAGCCUGAUCCAGCCAUGCCGCGUGCAGGAUGAAGGCCUUCGGGUUGUAAACUGCUUUUGUACGGAACGAAAAGACUCUGGUUAAUACCUGGGGUCCAUGACGGUACCGUAAGAAUAAGCACCGGCUAACUACGUGCCAGCAGCCGCGGUAAUACGUAGGGUGCAAGCGUUAAUCGGAAUUACUGGGCGUAAAGCGUGCGCAGGCGGUUAUAUAAGACAGAUGUGAAAUCCCCGGGCUCAACCUGGGAACUGCAUUUGUGACUGUAUAGCUAGAGUACGGCAGAGGGGGAUGGAAUUCCGCGUGUAGCAGUGAAAUGCGUAGAUAUGCGGAGGAACACCGAUGGCGAAGGCAAUCCCCUGGGCCUGUACUGACGCUCAUGCACGAAAGCGUGGGGAGCAAACAGGAUUAGAUACCCCAGUAGUCC